UACGUAGGGUGCGAGCGUUGUCCGGAAUUACUGGGCGUAAAGAGCUCGUAGGCGGUUUGUCGCGUCGUCUGUGAAAUUCUGCAACUCAAUUGUAGGCGUGCAGGCGAUACGGGCAGACUUGAGUACUACAGGGGAGACUGGAAUUCCUGGUGUAGCGGUGAAAUGCGCAGAUAUCAGGAGGAACACCGGUGGCGAAGGCGGGUCUCUGGGUAGUAACUGACGCUGAGGAGCGAAAGCGUGGGUAG
rnacentral:rRNA from 1 species